CACAGUCACGCCGGCACGGGCAUCCUCGUCGAAACACCGCCCACGCAGACAGUCUGUGAGGUGUAUGCGUGUAUAUACAUACACAUGCCAGCGUGUUCCAUAGGAAUAGAGCACAGCCGUGCGUGGGGGCGGCGCGGGCGGAGCUCCGCGCCCGCGGCCCCGCCGCCCACUUGCCAUGCGCUGCCCGCGGCCCUGCGCGGAGGAGGAGGCGGCGGUGGCCGCGGCCGAGGGUGGGGAGCGCGGCCCGAGUCGGCCCCGUUCUCCCAGGCGGCGGCGGGGGUUCCCUGUUUCCCUCCCGCUCCUCUCCGCGCUGCGGGGGCCGAGCCGGGCGCGGCGGCGGGGGAGGAGGGAAGGGAAGAGAGGAGGAGCCGCCGCCGCUGCGAGGCGGGCGGGCUGCACACACACAGGCACAGUGUGCGGAGGAGGAGGAGGAGAAGGAGGAAGGAGGAGGAGAAGGAGGUCGUCGCCUCGGCGCGGCCCCGGCCACCCUGCGCAGCGCGGCGGCGGGGCCGGCGGCGGCGCGCGCCCCGGCGGCUGAGGGAAAGAAAGUGAUUCUCUGCAAUGGAAAUUUUGACAAAGUAACUUCUGAUCUUCAAAAAAAGGAAGAGUUUCUCAGCUCAUCAGCCUAAUUAGACCCCUGUUUUUCCAUCCAGUCCAGAACUACUUUGUAAGUUGCUUGCUUGUGAACUAGAAAUUGAAAGAUAAGCAGAAUUUGCAGAAGUGGUGCUAUUGGCCCCCUUGUCCCCCUCCUCCCCUCCCUCCAUCUCUUUCUCCCCUCCCCCUCCAUCUCUGAGUGUAAGCUUUUGGUAUAUCUCUUAAUUUGAUAUAGAUUUGUUGGUAUAUGACCUGGUUUCAGUACAUUAUCCCAUGAUUACUGAACUGAACUUGAUUAACAGUAUGAGAGAACAAAGAGACUGUUACUUUGGGAGACAAUUUCUAGUUUUUUUCACAGUGAUACUGGCUUACAAUAUUUUAAAAUUCCAGCCUUUAAAAUUUCAGUGGAGAUGUACGACUAACCUGAUCAGGGGGCAAUUUUUUUCUUAAACUGCAAAGGAAAACACGUAUACACUUUCUUCUGUGGUGUCCUUACAGCUGGAGUAGCUUAUGUUAUGUGGAGAAAAAAACAACUGACUGAUGUUGGAAGAAAAGUCUGAGAGCUGGUAGUGUCACUGAAGACUAUGUAGCCUGAUCCAGUAACAUAAGAUAUCCAAGGCCCAAAAAAGACAGAUUUUUAAAUUGAGGAGCCAGCUUGAGUGGCAGUGGAAGUGACUAUAGCAUGUAGGGUAUGAGCUACUGCUGCCCCAUAGUUGGUGGACUGGUGGAUUUUGAGGCAGCUGGUAGUAGUAGUAUUUUCACAAAGACAGCUUUCUCAGUUUGGGAAGAAAAGUGUCAGGUGUCACGGCCACGUGGGGAACAGCUUGUGAAGACAAACUUCAUGAAGUAACAGAAACAUGGAUGUACGUUUCUGUACAGCAAAGCUGCCUAGACAGCUAGUGGCAUUGCAGACACAUUCCCAAAUUGCAGCUCACCUUAAAAAAAAACUCUACCAUAGUUUUGGCACUUGCCUAGCUUUUGUUUGAUUUGCAGUAAGCUCAGUAAUUCUCAUGACAAAAUCAAGCCAAGAAAAAGAUUAGGGAGAUGUUUCAUCUAGUUCUUGCUCUCUUUAAAUAGGGGACAUCUCUGUUUCUGUUUAAAUAGGGGACAUUCUCUGUUCAGACAUCUCUAGUGACUGAAUUUUGAAUUCUGUUGUUGUGAAUGAAUGUCAUGCAAUACUGGCAACUGAUGAAGCUGCUGAGGUGCUAGGCAUAUAGUUUAAUAAAAAGUACUGGAUCAGUGACCUACGUUGAGAAAGACUUUUUUAUGCUGUUUUUCAUUAUGUAGGUCAACAACUAUCCAAGAUUACAAGACCAUUGGAAUUCUUUUCCUCCGGUCAUAAGAGUUGCCUGUAAUUAGCAUUACUUAAUUUGUUACUACCUUACCAUGGCUACUACAGCCUGCUCAGUUUAAGAUGCAUUGAGUAUAAUGCCUAAACUUUUCACUCUUGAGGAGAUGACGUGCAGUGAAUGUUUUAGAGUUCCCUUAGAUUUGCUGUUGGAAAUGUGACUAUUCCUGCAGACAAUUCCCUGUGAUGCACCUGAAUAUCUGACUCUCUGCAUAACUGUUUGUCAUGGCAGCUCUUUCCUAGUCUCUAACAGUCACUAUGGAAUGGCCAGUCUGCUUAAAUGCUCUGAUCUACUGGAUCAGUAUCACCAUGGAUUCUGGAUUGCCAAAGUAAAUCUCACUGUGAGCACUGGAGAAAAUUGGAAUCUUUUCCUCUACCAUCAGUAAAGUGCAAAAAAGUCCAUGCAUACCCAGCAAUGAGGAGAAAAAAAAGUAACUGCUUGGUACAGUCAUUUCUUUGACUUGCCUUUUUGAUCCAUAAAAAUGUUUCAACUCUGGGCCAAACAACUCAGUACCCUCUGAUCUCAUUUUCCCAGCACCAUAUUCUCUGUGGAUAUACCAAGUGGUAUUUUGCUUUUUUUUUUUUUUCUCUUUGGCAUAACAUAUGAGUCAAGUAUCAUUGGUAAUGCCUAAACUGAAUCUGUUUGUGUUACUGUUAAAGUUUAAGUCUAUGAUUAGAAUAGUUGAAAAAAUGGAUCUUUUUUUCCUGGAAAUAGUGUUAGUGCUAGGCAGUGCUCACUAUUACUGAUGCAAGCUUCAGAAAUUGUGGGUGGAUGUUGUUUUCCCAAGGGGUGAAAUAGACGACAAUAGAAUGGCAAAUGACAAACAGCAACAUAAGUCUUUUGGCAUUCAAAUGAGCUAAAGAGAAUACAUGCUUUUCAGAAAUCAAGUGGAUAAUGAAGUACUGGGCUGUGGUAGAACAGUGUCCAGGCUCAGUUCAGAAAGCAUUUGUAUUGUUGCUGAGCUGCAGGGGUUGUUUGGUGCAUAUGGAUGCCUCUGUGUGUGUGUAUUUUCUAAAAUGAAAAUGUGCCCCUAAUGAUUUAAACUUUCAAAUACCAAACAUAAUUAAGUUAUAUUUGGGCUUACUUUUAAAUUAAAGUGCUACUUGAGUAUAAAUAAGUAUUUAUCUAAACGUAAACAAAACAAGCUGUAACAUCUGAGUCCCAUGCUAAAUGUCUAACGUGACUCUGUGGCCUGUGAAGGUUCAUCUUAAUGAACUGCGUUUACAUUCUGUAUAAAGCUUUAUGAUUGUCCUUGCUGGCUUUGAAUUUUUUGUGUGAGUCAGAAGCCUGUAUGAACCUUUAUCAAAAUCAGAUAGGGUUUUUUUUAACAGCAAGACUGAAAGUGUGAAAACCUGUGUGUGAGAUCCUGACAAUACAGCAGGUAUUAGUUUAUUUUAUUUAGCUGCACAAGAGCACACAGUGGCUGAGAUCUGUUUAGUGCAGCAAUUUGCCAAAAACAUUGGGAAUGAGGGCUUGCAUUCAAUAAGCAUUUUUUUUAAAUAUGGGGUUUAAAACAUCUCAUUCCAGCUGUUCCUUUGUCUCAUCCUUCUUGUAUGAUCAAAUGGCAUGGUGGCUUUACAACAGUUAACAAACUCCUUGCUUUGCAUAUACCCUUGGUUCUUCAGUGUGAGUUGCCUAGCAAUGUCUGUCUGCUGAUACGGCUAGAGCUUUCGCCUAGGAAGGAUAUGUAUGUCACCUUUCUGUCAGAGGUUAUUACCUCUUUUGGUCCUUAGUCUCCUUAAUAAAUGCUUAGAAGUUCGGUAGUCUUUUGUGAAUUUCUUUUUCUCCCUGCCAUUUCUCUUUGUUACAGUUAAUUAUUCAGAGUCCAGAAUGAGGCAUUUUAUUGUGGUCAGGAUGAGUAACAAAAGGAACAAAAGCAUGCAAUUUGUAACAAAAACUUGAGUACUCCUUUUGUGAAAUAUAACAUCACAUGCUACAAAAAAAAAGAAAAAAAAAGAAAAAGAAAAAAAAACCCCAAAACAGAAAAACAACAACAACAACAAAACCCACCACCUUGCCUUUUCUUUCUGUUUAUCAAGUAUAUCAUACCUUGAUGUUCUCUGCUAUCGGCAGUGUUUUGUAUUCUGUUUGCUGAGCUGGUGAAGUCUAAAUGUUUCGUAAAAGCCUCAUGCGGAGAAGGAAACAAGCAAUUUCUCCUUCAUGCUGCAGGGAUAUUAAGACCUCAUAACUUCUUACUGUCAGAGGUGGGAGCCAGAGAAAAGGAAGGUGGGCCAGAUUUGCAGAAUUAAGGAAAAGAAAAAAAAAAUACAAGAAAACCACAAGCAACAGUUUAUUGCUAUAGUUCUAAUCUAAUUUACUGAGUCAUUCUUCUGGCUGGAAGCUUUUUCAUUCUCAUGUUCCACUGUGGUUUGAUGGUUUUGAGACCAUCAUAAAAAUGAAGUGAAGCUUGGUGGAAAAGAUAUAGGGAGAGAUGUAGGCUGCAGUCCCACUGCCCUCCCUCCUUGGGCACCUGUGCCUGGGUUGCAAGGGUGGAAGUUUAGUCAGAACUAGCAGAUUAUAUAUGUUAGCGUGGUUUCGUGUUAUUUAGAGCUUCUUCAUAUGAGUGUAAUGAAUUGAUAAUACACACUCAUGGAAAAAAAAGCCCACCAAGGAAACCAUUUAAGAAAAAAUACUGCCUGUGGCUCAAAGCCUCUGAGCUUUGACAGCAGAAAAAUAUUCUAAGAAAAAUGUGGUUACAUGAUUGGUCUGAUCAGAUCUUCUCUCCCCUAGCUAUCACCUCAUGGCCACCAUUGGUGGUAAAAUCUUUGCCGAGCCUUGUAUGGUGGUUGUAUCAUUGGAUACUUCUUUAAUAGUUAAGUCCAGUGGCUCAUUCAUGCUUCUCUUCUUUUCCAGGCAAAAAUAAAAAAUGCAGAGGUGACAUUUUAUCCCUCGCAAGUAUAAGGCACAGCAUAUACCAAAUUGCAGGGAACUCUUAGAGGGAGCAAAAAAUAUUACUGUCUAGCAUUUGCUUUCCUCUCCUCUCAUGUUGGAUAAGUUGUUUAUUGCCACCCUGUGGACUCCAUCCCUGUAAUCAGUAGUGAACACAAAUAUGGGAGUGUAUUUGGUCCCUUGACAGUGAGAAAAAGCUAUGGGCUGGCUGUGCCCCCUGAAGAUGCAUGCUUGUAAAACUGGCAUUGUUCAGUCCUUAAGUUUCGAUAAAUUCACUUGUGCCCCAGCACUUCAGUAAUAAAAGUGCUACCGUGCAGGUGCCCUGUUGUUUCUUCUUUUUGAUUGGAGAAAGCGAUAAGUUAGUGAGCAUGUGAACACUCAGUUAAUGGCUGAAGGUCCUUGUCUGGCAACAUCUUAAUCAUAGAAUAGUUUGGGUUGGAAGGGACCUUUAAGAUUAUCUAGUUCCAACUCCCUUCUAUAGGCAGGGACACCUCCAGGUUGUUCACAGUCCCAUCCAGGCUGGCCGUGAACAUCUCCAGGGAGGGAGUAUCUGCAGCCUCUGGGCAACCUGUUCCAAUCAAAUGUAUACAUCAUAUCAUAACCCCGUGCUUGCUGCUCAGGGCUUGAUUGAUGAUUAACUGAAAGUUUCAUGUGGGCAAAUGCUAGCAAUGAUUAUACCCCACUAUUCAAAGACCUGGGAUCAAGGCCUCCAUAAUGUCAAAUUGCUUUCAUACAAAACAGCAAUACUCCUAUUCAGGGCAGUGCUUUUAAUUGCCUACAAAUUGAUGUGGACCUGUCUGUUCAGAGUGAAUCUCUAGUGUCUUACUUAGCUUACUGGGUAAGCUAAGAACUUGUAAGUUCUGAGAUUUAAAACAAAUGUUAAGUUAAAGAUAUCAGUACGACUAUCAACUUCAGCUAGUUCUGUCUGCUGCACGUUUCCAGGUUUCUGAGAUAAGAAGAAAAAAGGCAAACAAAACAAACAAACAAAAAACCCUAAGCAUGCACAGACUUGAUAGAGAGUACCUUGGAUGUUAUUACCAAAUGGUGGUGUUACUUGAGUUAGUGAGCCUAUUAACAACUUGGCUAUGAAAUAUUUCUCUUUUACUGUAUUGCUAUAGUAUCUGAAAAUUAGCAAUAUAAGAGAACCCUAUGACUUAUAAGGUUUGAAGGUAGACAAAUGCACUACAAAUACAUUGCCUAGAACUGAAAUAAACUGUGAUUGGGGAAGCGCUUGUAAGAUUAAAGUUGGGAAGGUCAGAUCUAAGGAAUUGAGGGUGUGGUUUUCUGGAAAAGUUUAAGUGCUUGCAGCUGUAAGUGGGGGGACCUCAUUUUAGGAAUGAAUUCUGUAAUUCUUUGCAUGCUUCUUUGCACUGAUAAUGAAUGAAACAAAUAGAGAUAUACCAGUUUGGAGGUUUUUUUGUUUGUUUUCUUUUGCUGGUCUGUCUUUCCUUUCACACCUCACAGAAAUGUUUUAUGGUGAUUUAUAUUUAAUUAUCACUGGAAAUUCAUAAGAAUGAUUUAUCGGCAUUCAAGAAAGUAAAGUUUAGUACAAUAUGACAUUUGCAACUAUCCAAGUUUCAAAUCUCUUUUUAAAGAUUAUUUUCUUUGUUUUGGCCUAUAAUAAUCUUGGUUAUUUCAGUAUAAUACAUACUGCUUGCACACUUACAAAUACGUAUUUUCUUCGUAGAAAAAAAUUAUGUAUGUGACUUCUUGCCAAGAAAACAGUUUUCCUGGCUGUUUUCCUGCAUGUAUCUUGGUCAGUCGAUUUAACUCAGCACAAAACACAUUUGCAGAGGGCCUGUUUGCUAGGUAAAAAAUCUGAGUAACUGCCUUGACCCUGUGCUGGGAAUAUUAGUCAUGGAGGCUGGCUGUGUUUGCAAAGAGAAGGAGGGGAAAAAAAGCCAACAUGACCCAUCUGGUUGCACUCCAUUUAAUAGAGGCAGAUCCCUGAUGAUCCCCCAAAGUAAAUACUAAUAAAUAUUUUUAGAAAGGUCUCUUUUCUCUACCCUUCCCUCUGCUUGUAACAGGGUAGGGCUUUACAUAUAUAUAAUGAAUUUUCAGGAGUCUGGUCUCCCAGUUUUUAUUAUCUUCUAACUUUCAGUGCAGACUCAUCUUUGUUGGUUUUUAUUUUCUUUGAUUUUUUUUCAGUGUGCUUUGUACUUUAGAAGUAACUCUGAAUCUUGUCUUGGCCUCAACUGGAAAAAUGGUUAAACUUGUGUAUGCUGUGAUUGUUAGGAAUGAAAGCUUUAUUUUAUAAUGGCAAUGGGAAUUGUAACUCUUCAACUGUGCUCAGUGGUGAAAAUGUACAGCCAAAACCUGAGAUAUAAGAUCUUUUGUUGGACUACUUUUGAGUUGAUCUGGGAUGACAGAGCCUAUUUCAGUCCAACAGUCAUUCUAAGGUUUCCAUGGAGAUUAGCGAUGUCAGAGAAGAGCAAGACCUGAGUGCAGUUUGCUAAAAAGCAAGGCUGUAUUAUGUUAUAGUGGAGAAGUGUUGCCUUUUUUUGCAUUUUUAUGAACUUAUGGAACAGUAAAGCACACUUUCUUGGUGGGUUGCAAUUUUGUUUUGAUUUGUGUUGACUCUCAGCUGAAGUAAUGCUUCUGCAGUGUGGUGGUUUUCCUUCAGUUCACCUCAGUGCUGUAUGUGAUGAUUUUAGACCCUAAGAUUGUACCAUCUUCUAUACCAUCUAUUUUUGCUUUCAUUGCUGUUCUCUGUGUGUGCAAUAUUUUGUUUGUUAUCAUGUUACCUUAUUGAACUGCAGGCAUUUUCUGCCUGUACUGAGUUACCUUGUCCUAAGCAUGAUGUUUAGGUUUCCCUGUGAGUAUAUUUGCAACUUAGAGGCAUCAAAAUUAAGAGUAGUUACAGCUCUGAGUUUUCUGACAUUUUGGAGCUGCCAUGGAAGACAGAGUAAGAGGAGGAGAAGCGGUGCAGUGGGAAACUACAAAAGUUGUAAGUCUAGUACAGGCGUAAUUAAAAGCUAACAUUUGACCCUUUGACCCUCUUAGAAUUUAAAAACUUUUACAGUUACCUUCAGUUUUAUAAAAAUUAAAACAUCAUUCUGCUCUGGAAAGAUUACUGGCAAGGAACUGUGUGUUACAAUCAGUAGCAUAGCAUUUUCCUGUGGGGAACUUGCAAAGGGUGGUGGAGGAGUUAGGAGAUCUCAAGUUAGCUUGGGUCCACUGAAAUUGUGUAGCCUUUUAGACAGUCCUGAAUGGGAAGCAGGUCCUGCAAGCAGUGUUGAUUCCCUGUUAUAACCUAGUUACACCAGUUCCAUAACAGUGGAUUUGCUGUGUAAAGGGGUUUUAGGGGUUCUUGUAAAGUUAAGGUUGUAAAAUAUAAAAGUCAGCAGGCAUUAUUUAAAUUUGACUGGUUUUAUUAUAUUUGAGAAGAGUCAUAGAAUCAUAGAAUGGCUUGGGUUGGAAGGGAACCUCAAAGGUCAUCUAGUUCCAACUACCUGCUGUAGGCGGAGUUACUGACCUCUAGAUCAAUCAUUACAUCAGGUUCCCCAGGUCCCCAUUCAACCUGGCUUUGUAUACCUCCAGGAAUAGGGCAUCUGCAACUUCCCUGGGCAGCCAGUGCCUCACUACCCUCUCUGUGAAAAACUUCCCCCUGACGUCUAACCUAAAUCUCCUCUCCUUUUGUUUAAAACCCUUUCUCCAUCUAAUCACUGUUUACUCAUGUAAAAAGUUGAUUUCCCUUCUUCUUAUAAUCUCCCUUUCAACUCUGGGAGGCUGAAAUGAGAGUCUUCCCUGGAGCCUUCUCUUCUCCAGACUGAACAAGCCAAGCUCCCUCAGACUGUCUUUGUAGGAGAAGUGCUCCAGCCCUCUGACUGUGACCAUCCUUUGGACCCUCUCCAAAACCUCCAUACCUUUCCUGAGUUGAGAUCCUUAGGCCUGGAUGCAGUACUCUACGUGGAGCCUCACAAGGACAAAGCAGAGGUGGACAAUCACCUUCUUCUCCCCAAUGGCCACUUCUGAUGCAGCCCACAAUAAUGCUGGCCUUCCAGGCUGCAAGUGCACACUGCUGGCUCAUGCUAAGUUUUUCUUCUACCAGGACUGCUAAGUCCUUCUCAGCAAGGGUACUCUCAAGAAGCUCUUCUCCCAGUCUGUACACACACCUGGGAUUGCUUUGUUGAAUCUUAUUAGGUAUACACCUUUUGAAUUUGUCAGGGCUCCCAGAAAAUAGGGAAGAUAGAAGUCUUAAGAGCAGAUUAAAAUUUUAUGCUCAAGGUGGAUUCAAUUAUAUUACUCGACCACUUACUGCUUUUAUACAGUGUUGCCUAUAAAAAGGUACUUGUGCAGAUGUGCACACAUACCGAGGCAUGAUCAGAAUAACAGUUAUUAUGGUAAACAGUGUCAAGUCUCUGCUUUGCCUGUUUGUCUCAGAAGACAAAAUAAGAAAACGGAGAACAAUCUGUUCUUGAACAUACAUUGCACUUCAGUCGCCAUGCUUGGGUCUAGUUUCUUAAUUUUAGUUGUAACAGAAACAUAUUCUAUGUAGAGGAGAAGCACCAAACUAUGUAAACUCAUUUUUAUGACUAUACAGAUUGGCAAACUAUAGUUAUUUUUUAGAGAAUUUAUUUGUUAGAAAGCAAAGUGACAUGAUACCUCCGAGCUCAGAUCUUUUUCAUGUCUGAGUUCAACAGAAAAGGAAUUUCUUGCCUUCCUCCACACACGCCAGUUUCUAAAUUCCUGAAAUGCAAAGCUUACACAGCAGGAGAAUGCUCUGCUCUCAUACAGACCAACUGACAGCUCCUCCUGAGAGAUCGGGGCCUGUUAAUACAUUCCACAUGUUCUCUGUCCCAGUUUUUCAAAUUGAUUAUUUUGAAAAGCUAAGUAAGCCUAUCUUUGUUUUGCAGGAAAUGUUUGGUGCUAUUAGGCAGCAAUGCUGUUGAAAGAAUAAAGCUGGAACAGCUUUUGAUAAUGCCCACUGAGAAACGGCCGUUUGCUGUACAAGUGAUACGAACAGGACUGUUUGUUCCUAACGGGUGCUGAGCACUUGGAAAUUCAGGCACUUCACUCAUGAACCUAAAAAUGAGUGAAACUCUCUUGAAGUCUUAAGGUUUGAGCAACUUUGAAAAUCUGACCCCAAUUGUGUAGUAUGAAUGUGUGCUAUAUGGCUGUUGGUACAGUAAUACAGUUGUAUCUGGCCAUUACUGAGAGUGUUAAAGACUGUUUAUUACUUGACUUGAAAAAGGGAGAAACCUCUUCUGAUAUAAAAUUCUAUGAAGCAGUAUUGUGUUUUUGUGGGUCUGGUCACAGUGGGUUCAUGAGUUUAAUACUUUGAUAGCAGGAGCUAGCACAGUGUGGGAUGUGAAGCAGCUACAGGCUAUAGUCUUAUUUCCUGUGAGAGAUUAAGUUUUAAUGAAAUGGUCUGUAAUCCAUAGCAGUGUUGAAGCAUGUUUGUGCUUGGUAAGUGGACGGAAGAGGUGCGGAGUAGAGAAAAGUUGUGGAGACAAUUUUCAAGUACAUUCCUUCAGGAGAAUAAUUUUUCACAUCUACUGAGUCAUGCAGAUGGUUGUAUAAUUGGUGGACAUUUUAUAUGCAAGUAUCCUCCAAUCCAUCUACAUUCCUCCCUUCACGCAUUGCCUUUUCACUCAGUUCUGUUACUGGUAUACCAUGUUUGGCAAUGUUUUGGUAUGCUGAGUUUACGUGACCAAAUACAAAGUUUAUUUAAUCAAAUAUAAAGUCAUGGCCCAUCAAACAUGAAGAUAGGAAUCUCUAAGCUUGCAGCUCAGCAUAGUAUCUUUUAAAAUAUCUCUGCUUUUCAAUAGUUUGCUUUGGAGAGGACUAGUCAGAUGUCUGUUUUCACCUCCUUGCUAUUGCCUGAACCACCAGCUUUUGUCCUCUUUACCUUUCGUACCAGUGACUUUGGCAGUGGCAGAGACUUGUGUAGAGACCUCCACUGGUGGGCUGUCCAGCACUGUGAAGCACCACAGUUGUGUCACUGAUACUAUAAAGAAAAGAAAGAGGAGGAAUGUUCCUUCCCCUCAGACCAAACUGCCUAAACCAGGUGUGAGAGUUUUUAUUGUUCCUUUCUUGGUACGUGGUGUUGAUAUUUCUUGUUUUUAUAUUUUAGGAUCUAAUUUCCUUCCCCUGGGAAGCAACAAGGAAUUUGUAUGUAGGAACCCCACAAAACUAGUAUUGGAAUGACAGAUGCAUAAACUAGAAAGGAACAUCAGGCUUCAUUAAUCUGUAGCCAUGUCAGUUGUUGGUUGGCAGAAGUUAGGAGGGGUUCUACUUAGGAAUCAGACCUAGGAUUUCUAGUGUUGGGUGUCUCACAUGGGCAGUCCUCAAUACAAGGAUCAAAAUUUCCCUUUAAAGACAUGAAUGUUGUGCCUUUUGAGUCCAACGUUUAUAUAUGAAAGCAGACAAUUUUGAGUGUACACUGCAGAUAGCUUCAUGGCUGACUACUUGUUUAUCCUCAGCGUGUAGAGCUGUGCUGGCCCAGCCAACAUGCAAGCAGGUUUCUCCCACACUCCUUGGCCAUCCUGUCUUUUUAGAACUGGACUCUGUAAGCUAAUAUCUUUAUUUUGUUAAUUUUGCAUGCCAUUGCAAUCAAGUUUGUUUACUACAUGGCUUUUCACUUCUAUGAUCAAUAAUUUACUGAGUGCAAGGUUUUCAUGUUACCUGUGUCACCAAGGUUACCUGUUAUUUACAUAUUCUUAAGAAAGAAGAGUUACUAUUUAGUAACAGCCUUGAUGAUACUCUGACACAUGCAGAAUGAACAGUCUCUGACUCUCACAGUUUGUACUCAAUAAAAUGGUCAGUCAUGUUAAGUCAGUGAUGUUCAUUUAUCCAUAGAAAAUCCAUUUGAUUUUGACAGUUUAAGACUUCAAGAUGCUGUUCCUUCUAUCCUCAGUAGAUUUUUGAAUUUAAAAUCUCCAAAGAUUUUGUAUCAGUGAGCAUGCUCCAUCAUCUAUCCUCUUUGUGCUACGGCUGAGGUUGGAAAAUUAUAACCUAAUAUUUGUGCUGUAGCUUAUGCAGGGUUGCUUGGUGUAGUACAGUGCCUGCAGCUAAACUGGCAAUUGAAACAAGAUCUGACAUGAAUCUUUGUAUGCCUUGCCUGAAAGAUAAGCCUCCAUGCGUGGUAUAUUUUUAAUGGCUCAUGAAUAGUCAAAUAUGAGAGAGGAAGAGAAGAAAUUGAAAUAGUCAGAAUUUGAGGGACACAAGCAACUUGCAUCUGAAGAGACAUAGUAUGAUGAUAAAGGAAAAAAAGGAAUGAGGUGGGUAUGAGAGUUUGUAAAGACAAAGAGAAUUCAAUCACAGCAGUGAAACCUACUAAUUCAUCUAGAUGGAAGGUCUGUGAAGAGCUGGAGGACAUCUGAACAAGACAACAGGCAGAAAAUUGAGAUAUCUUGGGGAAGGUGCAAAGAGGGCAGCAAGGGUUAUGUUAUACACACACAGUUUGGGAAUGUGAGAGGAAAGCUGCUUUUCCUACUGCUGAUAAUUGAUAAUAAUUACUUGCAGUCAAUUUGGAAUUGUGAUUUAUCAUAGAAGGGUCCCAGCAGUUAAGUCAGUACUUUCUUCUGUACCUCUGAUAUGCUUGCUUGAGAGAAUUACUUGCUUCAUCCGCACUGUGAAGUGUGGCUACAAAUGUUGUCAGAAAAAACAGCAGAAGAUUAAGGGCAGAAAAAUCUCAAAAAUAAUCUGCAUUUAGCAUCAACUUUGCUAUUUCUGUUUCAGUACUAAAAAUAUGGCUUCCAUGUCCAAAAGCUUUUCUGUUUUCUUUUCAGCUAUUCUCAGUUAAAGAAACUGGAUAAAAUCUAUUAACUUCAUAUCACUGUACUAAUGUUAUCUAUGAACAUAAUACGGAUAAUUACAAGUCUCAAAACCCACUAGAAAUAUGUAGGUUCUUGUGUUUGUUUGUUUGUUACCUUCUGCUCUGUAACUUUUUGAUGUUUCUUUUAAAUCCAAAUGUAUACUUAUGGUUUUUGAAGUCUAUGGGAAAACAGUAAAGGAAGCAUGAGGGCCACAUGAGGGAAUUCCAUAUUUAUUUUUGGCAUUUAUUUCCAUGAAGAUGAGGCUUCUAUUGACGCAGGACUUUUCUUACUUUUUUUCAACUUGCAAAUGUUGUUGAAGCAUUAAAAGUUAGUUCCUUGCUGUCAAGAUUCCCGAACAAGUGUUUGCAUAGUAGAAUGGGUGUAAUAUUUGUGUAACUUUGAAAACAGCUUUUGGGCUGGUGUUUCAUAAGGACAUGAAGCUUUAUCAAGUAUUACUUCUGAAAUGCAUGUUGCAUAUACAGAAUUGAUCAGCUUGUAGACAGAUGAUAUACCACAGUUGUUGGAGUGCCAAGUACAAAACACCAGUAAUAGAAAAACAAAGGUGCAUGCUGUGAAGGGUGUUAUCUUUUUCUAUGUAAAAUAUUCUUCAUUAUAGCUAAGGACUUAGGUUUCACUUAUCAUGAUUUUCCUGAAGGACUUGGCAUGAAACUGGAGAGUAAGAGCUUUGGAAGAUAAUACGUUGGAUAUAGGGAAGGUAAUAGUUGUAUUUCAAAUUAAAAUCUUCACCUGAAGCAUCUGGAAAUCUGUGGAGAUAGUAAUUUACAACCUAUGGGAACUUACUCCAAAAUAAUCAUUUUUAAAACGAAUUGGCUGAAGAGAUCGUGUUGGCUUCAACUUCCCAUCUCUUUUAGAAGAAAACAAUGAAGUAACAAAUAAGCAUUAAGAGGUCCUUUGGAUUGCAGGGCCACUUUUUUCUCCAGCUGGUAGUUAAUUAGCAAAGUCAAGCAAGGUGAAGUGCUGUCCUUUUGAAUGCAAAACUUUAAAGAAGCAGAUCUGUUCCAAGGUGGGUCUGCACAUUGUUUGCCAAGACCCAGAUGCACCCAGGACUUUAAAUACUGCCCAAGAGACUCACUCUAUUUUGAGGACUAGUGGAGAAGUGAGAAUCCCAUUUCAGCAGACCUCUAAUUUGGUGUGACACCUGGUCCCCAGCACUGUAAGCUAGAAGCUUAGUGGCAGCGGCCCAUAGAUGCAGUUCUAUGUACAGUACACACUGGUGAUUGCUUUCCUCCAGCUCUGCCUGCAAGAGAUGGUGAGCGCUGUUGGGAUGUAAAUCAUCCUGCAAGAAAAUGACGUUGUGUGAACAUACAGUUCUUGUUACCUAGUAAUUCUGAAUUACUGGGCUAGCAGUUACUGUUUCGAGUGAGUUAAGUAAAGAAGUCUGUGAUAUUUUCAAGGCCUAUCACAGCAUCCAUAGAGGCUACAUGUUACUCAGCAGCACCUAGAGGAGAUCUCCUGAGUUCUGCUUUGACUGCCCUGGUACUUUUCAUGGGCACAGUCCUGAAGAUAGUUGGAUAAACACAAGAACAGUGUUUAUUUUUCUGCAGGGUAUUUUGAAUGAUGGUCAGAUUCACUGCUUCUCUUGAUCCAGCUUUUGCAGACCACUUAAAUGGGAGUCUGAUUAGAUUCUUUGUGAGGAAAUGACACAUUUAACUUUAGAUGUAGCUAUUUUCAGAAGUCUAGCCACCCAUUCUUGUACGGCUAAAAGUGGUUUGCCCUGCCACAGACAGAAGGAUGACAAGAUAUUUGAGGUAGCUAGACAGCUAGGCCAGGCUCUCUUGCUUCUUAAAGAUUGUGUUGCUGGAACUCUUUUAAACACUGUUCUUCACAUGUUCAUGCAAAUUAGCUAAUUACCAGCCUCUGCUCCGGCUUCCAUGAGUGCUGAAUAGUGGAACAGAAUGAUUUAAUUUCCCUAACAUAUUCUCCUGGCACUUUUGCAUAAAAAAUAUGCUGCUCUAAAGUAUCCCCCGAUACUAGAUCCUUGGCAGUGUUCCAAAAGGAGUUCAAAUUUAAAGCCAUUCAGCAUAAUUUUAGGUUUGGUAAACCUGAAUUUGUCACCUUCCUUGCAUCGUAUAAUUUUGCCAUCUGUAAUGUGGGCUUUCCUCUUCAUCUUACGUAAGUGUUUAAAUUGUGAAUCAGUAUAGUUGGCUCUGAUUAUUUAUCCGAUAUUCUCUUGGGAGAGUAAUUAACUGAGGUGAUCAUAUGAAUCUCAAUUUUUGCAGAUUCACUAUGCUUUUAAAAAUAACUAAGUAGAGUUCUCUGUCACUUCAGCAAAUAGGUGUGAUUUUUGUGAUUUUCAGUUUUGAAUGGUGCUUACUGUGAAACACAUGCCACUGUCAGACAGUAGUCGGACGUGUUAAUUUCCCAUUGAAAUUCCUUCAGAAGCAUUUGUAUGCAAGUCAGAUUGGCUGAGUGUAAAUUAUUUAAAUCACAACAUUUUGGGAUGUGUCCAGAUUUAAGCUAAGGAAAAGGAAUUGGGUCAAGUGUUUUUUUUCUAUUCAGUAGUUGAGUCCUAAUCCUAGAAACGUUGUUAGCAUGUGUUAACUCAUUAACUUUACUACAGCUUCCAAAUAAAUACAAAUAUAAAAAAGCAUGCCUUGAGCCUCGCACAGGCACGAGGAGUAGUGUCAACACAUUAAUUAUAAUAGACCUUGGCAAUCAAGAGGAAGUUGUAGAUCAACUAAUUAAAUGUCGUUGGUUGUCUGUCUGCCAUCUUAUUACACACAGUGUUUCAAUGACUGGUAUAUAAAUUUUCGAAGCUAACACGAUUUCAAAUCGAGAGUAUUGAUUUCAUUUUUGUUAUGUUUCAGCGUUAAACAAUAGCAGUUUCUCCCAAUGAAAUAGUGAACAUAAAAUAAAAGUAUGUGUUAUUCUAAGUCCAGCAGAUCAGUGUAUUACAUUUGUUGUUCUUUUUUUUCUAAACAGAGAGAGAGGCUUUGUUGUGUCUUUCAAAAAUCAUGGAUUAAGGCCCCAUUUCAAUUUAUUUCAGCAGCAUCAAUCUCAUAAAUGCUAGUAUAAACAUGGUGAGGGGAACAAAAUCAAACGCAGAUAGUUGCCAUGUGAAAUGGGUUGUAGUCUGCAUAGUUAACCCUUUAAAGAUGUUUGUAGAUCAUAGUAUUGAAGUUGUAGUUGGACCUUACUAAUCACAUCUUUGAUCAGAUGGGACUAUAUAUAGAUCUGUCUCAAAAAGCUCAUGUCUUGCCAUUCUUAAUUCUUUGCAUCCUUUUAAGGUAGACUGAAGCUGGAUUGGAAAUUGUAUGUAAAUCCCAUGCAAGUCCUAUAACUUAGGUUAGCUGUGCGAUAAUAAGGAUUGAAUGGAGAGGUACACUUGGUCCAACUUUAUUCUAUUUCAAACAGUUAAAAGCAAGAGUCUGGCACUAAGCUAAGAUUAUGUGUAAUUUGCAGCUCCUGAAGAACUUUAUUCCAGCUUGAGGGCAUCCUCAUUCCUACAAUAAUUUCAAAUGAGGCUAAAAAUAAAAAGGUAAAAUAUUUCAAAAUAAUGUAUUUAUGUAUCAAAAACAUCUAAAAGUUUUUUAGAUACUUUCAUUCUUUCAAACUUACAAUGGCUUAUUCCUUCAGUAAAAUAUUCCGAACCAGUUUGCAUAAACAGAGACAGGGCUUUUCGGGAUCACUUCUGUGCAUUGGCACAGUGUGUGCGGAUAGCUUAUCUUAGCUGUCACGAUGUGCGUGGCUUGUCAUUUCUGACAGAGCUUGUAUAUCUGAAUUAUCCUGAUUAUGGGUUGCACUAGAAGUCAGUAUUUUCAAUUACAGUAUCUGUUUGGGGGGGGGGAAAGUCAUUUUAAAUUUUGUGAACUUCCCAUAAUUCUUAAAUUGUAAGUUUUACUUGUAAGUUUUUACUUGUUUUUACUUGUAAGUAUUCAAAGAGCCUGAAGGGAACAUGGCUUCUCUAGGCUUCGUCAAAGAACUGACAAGUCCAUUACUAAAGCUAACAUGAUGCUUGUGUGGGAAGGAGGUUCUUUUCUGUUCUGUUUCUUGUUUGUUUUUGAUUAUUUAUUCAUUUUAUUUUUUAAUGCAUCCCUUCUUUCCCAUUACUUCUGAGUGAAUGGUUAUUACUGGAUAGGUGAGUUUCCUAGUGGAUUGUGAUUAUGAGAGCCUAGUGAGGAUUUGUUGGAGUAUAGUACCCUGUGCUGGGCACAGUACUUCAGAGGAAGUGUGAUACCUGGACAGACAGUUGAAAGGAGAGAGAGAUGCUAUUACUAGAGUAUGAUAGAAGAAGAAAGAUUGAUUAAGUGGGAUUGUUCAUCCUAGAAACAAGGAAGUCUUCACAUUCAGAUUCAGUUGGGCUUUUGAUUUUAAUUUAAUUAUCUGUUAGAAAUACUGUUACUGUAUCUGUGUCCAGUGCUACAUUUUGUUUUUGACUUAAUCCACCUUUGAGAAUGCUUUUGCGUACUCCAGUAUUGCUAAGGAGCAAUAUCUAUUGAGUAGUGCUAAGCAUUUGCUAAGCAAUCAUUUUUGUCUCAUCUUUUCUAUCUCUUAUGUGUCUACAGUGUGACUUUCUGAAGCAUAGAACCAAUAAACCAGCAAGACAUCCAGUUAGAAACAGAACAUUAUAAUUUGAGUGUUUGUUUCAAAGUCAUCGUUCAAAAAUAUAUUUAGAAAAUACCAGCCAUUCUAAAGUAGAUGGAAAAUCUACUUUACUUAGUCAUUGGAAAAUCGUUAGCUAUUAUCUUGCAAGUACUUGUUUUGUCCCCUUGUUUUAGUUUUCCCUUCCCUAAGCCUUGCUUCAAAAUUGUUUGUUUCCUCAGUAGUCAUGAGAUGCAAAACUGUACCAAUCCAUUGGAUGGCAAUCCUAUGCUUAAUUUACUGGUAUCUGUUGCUGCCAUGUGUGCAAACAUAGUGCAUGGUAGAGCAAGUGAUGACAACUCAUUCUCUAUGAGAAAAGACAUUAUCAGUAUUAUCUUGGAUGGGUCUCGAGACAUUCUGUUAGCUGUACUGUGCAGUAGGUGUUUGACAUCUUUGCAAGCUCAAACCUGUCCAGUUUUGGUGUCAACCUCUAUACUGCGCAGUAAGUCACAGAUUGCCAGACUGGCAGAUAUUCAUUGUACUUUGGGACAAUGCCAGUGGGAUUUGGAGGGCUUUCCUCCAGAUGGAUGCCCAGGUCUCCCAAGGGAAUGUUUUUGUCUUUGCCAGCCAUCUGGAGAUCUUGUAGGCAGAUUUGAUGAAGCACACCAAACAGGUAAAAAAAAUAGCUCUGCUUCCAUGAGCAGCAUGGAAUUACAUUUCUACUAUGCUGUUUGCUGAUGCAUCUGAGUUUCUGCUUGAUUUUAUUGUUAUUAUUAUUACCUUUGUGACAUUAUUUUUUUUCCAUAAAGUGACAAUUAAAGUAUGAGGUAAGUGAAGCUGCCUGUCUUAAACUGUGCAAACAGUGAGUGUGCUAGGAGCUAACUCUAUCAUUAGCCAUCCUUUAUGUAUAAUUUUUUCAAUUGAGUAACUUUGAGACAACUCAGUCUCUGAAAACAAUCAUUGGAAAAUUGAUUAUCUGUUAGCAAUCGUCAGUAAAUAUUGUAGAGGAGUUUGCAAAGGGAAGAGGGAAUAUCCACAUUCCAUGGUGGAUAGGGUAAGAACUAGGGAAGUCUUUAAAGUAAAGUUUAUUUAAAUUAGGAAGAACUUUUUCAAGACAAAAGACAGUGAAGUACUUAAGUAGAUUGCUUGCAGAACUUGUUGCCUUCAGAGCACUGAAGGUGUUUACACACAUCUCAGUAGAUGUGACUUCAUCUUUCACAUCUUCCAAGAGUGAAAUUUGAUUGACUCUUCCUGGAGAAAUGGAGUGGAUGACUUUUCUGGAUCUCCUUCAGUUCAGAGGCAUAAUGUUUUGGCUCACUCUUUGUUGACUUUUUUUGCUGGAUUUGUUUGUUUUGGGGUGGUUUUUUGUUUUGCUGUUGUUAUUCUUUUUGAAAGACGUAUUGUGAUGAAAACUUUCAUCUUAAAGACAUUCAGAAGGUGUAUAUUGAUAUUAAUAAAUGAUUGAUGCAUUAAUACGCAGUGACAGCUAUCUCUUUGGCUGAAGGGUGCGAGUUAGAUGAGUCUCAGAGGCAUUUCUGAUCAUUUUACUGGACAGCUUCUUGGGUAUUCCUGUAUAUUAAGUAACUGUAUACAUGUAAAUGAGCAAAUUUGUCCUAACUCUUUGUUUACGUAUAGGUUUAACUUGUAAGCACAACUGCAGUAGUAGCAAUGUCAGAUGAGAUAUUCUAGUGAAAUUAGACCAUCCGGUAUAUAAAAUGUCUACCAUUCUGCAUCCAGUGGAUGAUAAAUAAAAUUAUUCUCUUAGAUCAUCUCUGUCUUCUGCCAUUCAUAGACUUUUUCCUAUCUGUGAAAGGUGUCUCUUUUCCUUGGAAUCUUUCCGACCAUCUGAUGAGCACUGCAGUAUAUUGUCAAAUGUAUUACUGUACCAGAAUUUGAACUGUAAAUCUUGAGAACAUGUAAAUGUUUUUUUUUCCUCCCUCUUUUACAUUAUCUUCUUUUCCCUUCUCACUUCGAAAGGACAAAUUCAAUGUAUGUAUGAUAUGCUGAGACUAUGCAAUAAAAAUAUAAUAUUUUUUUUUCUUUUAUAAAAUAUAAAGAAACAAGGUGAUCAAUAUGGAACUGAGCUCUAGCUAAUAAAAAGAGUAGGUAGACUGUGGUGAUAAAAUGGACUGAAUAUGUAAUUGGCCCAACAUUGUAGUCAUGUUAUUAAUUAUUUUUAAUCAAGUUUGUCCUGCUGUUGUCCGCAGUAUGUGGAAACUUUCCUUAAGUAAUAUCUCUGUGAGUUCAUUCCAUCAGUAUUUCUCCCAGAUCUUCUCUUUUGCUGCUUACUAUACUUGAUUAAUAUUGAUUUUGGCAAUGUCUAUUACCACUGUGUAUUCUUUAUCAGUGGUUAUUUUCAUACCUUGCUAGGAAGAAAACAGACUACCAGUUGUACAGGAAAACGCUCCAUAUGGAUUGGGUUUAGAUCAACUUGAAUUUCAGGAUUUUGUACAUAUUGAGGUAACAUUCUAGUAUAUUCCUAUUAAAGAAACUGGACAGUGCAGUUUAGUAAGUCUUGAUAGUAAGGCAUACAUUCCUUUUCAUUAUGCAGCUGGAACUGCCCUGGGAGGGAAAUAAUGUUAAACCAAAUCAUCUUGUUCUUCAUCGAGGCAUAUGUCCAUUUGCUUUUCAAUCUCUGUGUCUUUAACAGCCCUGUUUUCUACCAUAAAUAACUUUUCACUACAUUAAAAGUGUACAAAAAACAUUCUGAGUGGCAUAGAAUUAAGAGCUGUGCAAUUUAUCACAGCCAAGACGUAUGAUAUUGGCUAAUCUUUAUCUAGAGAUUUCCCAGGUUAGUGAAUUUGUAUCCAGCAUCAGUCUGUUCUUCUGACUAGGUUUCUCUAUAUGUUUAAACCAACAAGCUGUCUUCUGUAAGAUUCAUUCUGCACUGUUCCCAAAUGAUUGAAGAGCAACUUCUCUUCCUCUGCCUCCAUCAGAAAUACAGUUCUAAUGAUGCUUCAGAUGGCUCAUAUCACUCUAGACGUGCAAAAUGCCUCACAGUUCAUUAUACUGAUGAGAAAUACCUUUUGCUGCUGGAGCUUCAAACUCUUACACAGCCAGAGCUGCAAGAAACCCUGCAAACUGCUUGGGAAUAACUGGAAAAAAAUUAACUAAAAUUUGUUUGCAUUCUUUUUUUUUUUUUUUUUAAAUGAUAUUUCAGAGUUAAUCAAGUCAGAUUUCUUAAGUUUUUGUUUGCAACCAUGUGAAAGAUAGAUGCAGAGAUUCUUUCUUAAUCAUGUUGGGGAUUUUCUUGAGGGCAUUGUUAAAAACAGAAAAUGUGAAAACUGUGAUGGAACUCAGUGUCUCACACAGGGUGCUAUUGGCUGGCCUUCUGCCUGCAGAGGAAUUCUAACUUGCAUCCUUUGUACCUCACAAGUGCUCCAGAUUGUCCUACUUCUCUGUAACAUUGUUUAUAAUCACAGCCUGCUAUCCGUAUUGUUUCAUCUUCAUGCAUUGACUGAUAGCAUUUAUAAUCAUUUGUUUCUUACAUAAUAAGAAAAAAAUAGAUUUGACGUGCCAUUCAGAAUGUUCUUGAAGAUCUGUCACCUGUGUCCAGAAGGUAGGUUGUAUGUAUUGAAACAACUUGCGGAUACCUUAGGGAGUUUUUGUAGAUCAUUCCUUAGAAGUUGGUAUAGGAGCGGAGUGCACCAUUCCUUUUCAGUGCAUACUUUCUCACAGCUGCAUUUCCUUUGGUUUCCUGACUUUGCUUUCAGUUUCAACCUUUGCAAUUUUAAAGGCUGGAGUACAAUCCUGAAGGUUGGAUUUCACUCAGGCUUUGCUGAAGUAAUCUUACCUUGUCGUGCACCAGCCAGGAAAGGCUAAUUGUUAGAAGACAGAAAUCUAUUAGAGACCUGAAUUUUCACUGCCUCGAUGUGUUACAUAGAAGCAUGUACUGUUUCUAGACUGUGAAAAUGAAUAUUAAGGUAAUACUGCUAGAAUGGAGUAAUUUGUAGAGGAUUCAGUUACUGCAAAUGGUUAUUUCAACAAAGACAAGUGUUAAUGAAGAGACUGUGAGAAUGCUGCUGCAGUCUAAAAUCACCUCUGCUUCAAAGAUCUGUGAUAUUUUCAGCCUUUCUGCCAGCUUGUUUUGAAAGCAAACGUGCUACAAAACAGCAUUCAUACUACAGUGUUGUAACAGGAGGUAUGUUUGCCCUACAUACUGUAAAGGGUAGAAAACCCCAAGAUCCCUGGGCAAGCACUAAAUGCACUGGAAGCAGCCUUGCUGUAGCAGCAUGGAGCUCUGCAGGCUGAGAAGCAGGCUAAAUUAAUCUGCAUAGUGAGGUGGCUUCUAGCAUCCCAGAAGGCUCAGAGCUGACUUGCAUAUCUAUAUAUUAUGCUGGACAGCAUAAAUGUGCGCACUGAAUGCUGGUAUAAAACAUCCAUGUGCCAUUGAAGUCUGAGCUGCUUUAUCUCUGUUACUAACUUGUGUAUCUGAAAUAGUUGAACUUUGAACAGUGUUGCCGCUGAGGGAGCACCUAGUUCCAGCUGGAAGCAUGAAUUCAUUCACCCCAGAACAUUUGUGUUGUCAGAACCCUGGGCAGAGAGACAGCAUUCUCAAGAGUACUCUGUACUUUUUUUUACAGGAAUAAAAAGGGGUGUUUCUCUUAAUAGCAGGAAGAAAAAUUUGCACAUUUGCAAUUUUUGUUUGCUUCUUUAACAUUUACUUAAAUUUGAAGGAUUUAGCAUAUUCAUGUUUUUCAAGAACAGUUUAUAAAUAUUAAGUAAACAGAUUUUAUGACUUAUCAUAUGUAAAGUAAUGCUGUUGAUGUGUUUUAACCUCAGCCACAGAUAGAGCUAUGGAGUUGAUGGGUGGCUCUUCUCUGCAGUGUGGUACUGCUGACUGGACUUUGUGCUCCUCAGUUCUGUUUGUGGUACAUGCAGUCGUAAGGGUGCGGGCAGUAUAUCUGAAGCUCUUAUUUGUCAUUGUGCCUUUUGGCGUAAGACAAGCUUUGGAUCUUGUGGCAGUUUUUUCCUGGUAUCUGUUUCAUCCAAAACAAAGCCACUCACUCUAAGAAAGGUGGAUUUGGGCAGAAGUAACGUUAUCUUGUGCCUACCAGAACCCUGUCUAAACAGGAAAGGAAGUCAGAUUUACUGAAUUUUAUCAGUGUGCUGUUAAUUAUAGAAGCUUGAAAAGAACAGCCUUUGUUUCCUAAACCUGAUAGUUUUGCCAUGGUGAUAGGUUUGCAUAUUUGAGUAACUUCUUAUCUCAUAUAUGAAUUUGGAUUUCUGAAGGAAAGUUCCAUUUCACUGCUUAUCGCAUUCAGCACCAGCAAGAGCUUGUAUUCAACCUGACUUUUGCUAUCCUGAACUUUAAAAUCAGGUUCCUUUAUAUCUUAAAAACAAACAAAUAAGUAGUUUUGUCCUUCUUUGUUCUGCCGAACAGUUCUGCUGUCUCUUCUUUAUAGUCACCCAGGAUUUUAUUUUAUUUUAAACAUAGCUCUCGAAAAUGUUUCAACUUACCAGCUAGGGUAGCAGUAGCUGUGAACUCUAGAUUUGAUUUUAUUUUUUUUUUGUAUUAAAUUAAGCAAGUUGUGAAACUACAUUCUAAACAGGUAAAUUUCUCAUUAAAGCAGAGUUAGCAGUGUGUAAAAUUUGCAGAAAUAGCCAACUUGUUUGAGAAGCAGUAGAUCAGAACAUUAGUUGGGACAAAAUGGACUGUAGAAGAAUUGAAGUCAUGAGAGGAAGCAUACUAAAAAUCAACCAGUUCCCAAAUUCACAGUGAUCUUUCCCAGUAAAGUGUGUUAGACAAGGUUGGCUGGCCCAAUAUCACGGCUUGCAGCCACUGAAAAGGUUGAUGUUCUUCUCUUGGCCACAUGCUACCAGUCUCCUUUAUGCUGCUUCUGGCCAGGACUCUACUCCUGUAUGAAGUGGAUAUAGCGCAUGAAGCUAGCUCUGGCUCUUUGCAAUGUUGGUAGGCCAAAGUUGUGACCUUACUGUACUUAGUCAAGGCUGGUCUGAGGAAAGGAGGCUCUGAGGUGGGCACAGUGAGUUUUCCACUUCUUCCACACAAAUCUGUAUGCGUGCUAGUUUACCUGCAGUGAACAACAUUACUAAUUAACCCUUUAAAAGCCCAUGCUAUCUAGACUUUGGAGAAAAGGUGCUCCUCUAAAAUCUUUUCCAUCUGCUUCUGUGCCGUUUUGUACUCCUAUUUCAGAAGCAACAGCAGCUUUCUGCUGCUUUUGUGUCCUAUCAAAAAAACAAAACAAAACAAAACAAAAAAAAAAAACCACACCUCCCCAGCAACCUGUAGAACAAUCUCAGUAAACACAGACUGGGUGCCUGCCUUCAGAAGGUUUCUAACAACUGUUCAGCAUAAAAAAAACUUGCAAAGCUCUCUCACUGUUACUCAGAAUGGCUUUUCGGAGAAACACCAGCUGAGACCCACUCCCUUUUGCCUACAUGUACUGUUUCACUUAGAUGUUCUGAGAAACUAUCCAUAUAUGGAGCAAGGAAAAGAUUUAAUUCAGAAGUGCCAUAGCAGUGCAAAACACCCUCUGACAAGAAUGAGAAUGGUGCAGGCACAAACAUUGCAGAAGUGCACUGAAAAGAGGAAAGAUUUAAUGACCCAGAAGCCAUAUUAAUGGAUUAAAAUUAAAUCAACCUGCAACCUUCUUGAUCCAAACUUUUUAAUUUGCAUGCACAGUUGUAUCACAGAAAAUUCUCUUCAAAAGUUGGUAGUUUACUCAGUCUGGGAACAAAUAGGAUACAGGGAAAUGGGAAGUGGGGUGCCGAUAUGUUAUUUGGCAAGCCAUUUGUGACUGUGACAAAGUGAUGUUUCUGUUGCAUCACAUUGUCCGUUACUUUUUUCUGGCAAUAGCUGUAUUUCCUAUGGAAUCCUGCUACAAUGAGUGGUGUCCAGGGAUAGUGUUUCUUCUCAAGCUUUUUCCAUGGUAUGCAGCUUAGUUUCCAACACACAAGUCGCACAUGCUGACAAGAAUCAGAUGCACCUGUUCCUUGACUACAAUCCAGUCCACAGGUGCAGAUUUAUAGAGCCUUAAAAGAAAGGACUGAAGAGUGUGCACUAGUUGAGCUGGGUAAUUUUACUGACAGAGGUUGUUUUUAGUAUAAAUUGUGUACUUGCAUCUAAGUUUAGUGUGAUUAUAAUUAUGUCAGAUGUUUUGUUAUACAAAAGUAAGCAGCUGCUAAAGACUGAGAGCCCCUAGGGACCAUAAAGUAUUCAAAGCACCAAUUCACAUUUGGUAAUGCUUUGUCUAACAUGCCCACUGGGAUCUCUUGCCUGUGCUCUACCUUUACUCCCUGUUUCAGCAAAGCAUCUUCUUGUUUAUCAGUCGUUACAAAGAUUCCUCUGUUAUGUUUCUGCUUUUCUUGUUGGACUGCGCUGUUCUCUUUCACCUUAUUUCCUUCAGCAGCCUUUGCACUUCAUUAUAAUCUCCAGAUUUUUCCUUGCAAAGCAACACUAUACAGAAAUACAUAUAGUGUGUAUAGUUUUCACAUUUUCCUGAGCUUGUAUCUAAAACCUCAGAAGAUUUAUAAAGAUACCAGAAAUAUAUUUACCUUUUUCAGAAAGUGCGGUCAGCAGAAGUACAGUAUGCACAUUAGUGUGCUUACCAGGAAAGGAGCAAAGAAAGGGAUUGCUAGCCAAGGGCAAAGAACUCUUUUCUUUAAGCUUUCAGUCAAAAAACAGUCUAGACAUUUUUAUCACAUUAAACAGUCUGGAGCAUUUAAUAGGGAUGUGACAGGAAGAAAAGCAGUCUGAACUAGCUGGCCAGGUUUCUUAUGGGAAAAGCCUGCUGGGCCCAAGAUUUUAUUCUGUGCAAUGGUAAUUACUAUGUUGGAAAUGUUAAAUGGUGAUAAAUGGGGGCAAAGCUGAUUUUAGGCAUGUAAUAAUGCUGCUUUCACCUGCAGGGUCUGCUGUGCUUCACAUGUGACACUGCUCUUGAUUUUGGUGGGCAUUGUGCUUUUUGAGAGUGUGUACCACUUGUUACUAAGUUGUAGGAGGCCAGGUGGAUGUGAUUGCAUUAGUUAAGCACAACAGAACACUUGAGCGUAAUACAGCCCAUGCAAGUGAUAAAACAAUUUUUGUCUCUGUAAGGGUCCCAUUGUCAAUUUUUUGGUGUAACAAGUUGCAUCUGUUGAUUCCCAUUUUGACUUCUCAAUAGACUUCCCUGCCCUUGACCUCCACCUUGUGGUCAAGAAUCAGUUGUUUUCCCUUCCCCAGCAUCUCACCCAUGUGUCCCCUUGAUUUGUCUGCCGCACAGAGGAAUGCUGAAAUGCUGAACUCCUCAUCACCGGGAGCACUGCCAUCAUGACUCCACAGCAGUCACAAUAAAUAACCCCACUCUGCUUUUGCCUGGAAUGUUGGCACUGGUUGUGUUGGUUAUGCCACUUCUUUCUUCUUUCCCCUACCUCCCACAGAUACCAGCACGUUGUUUUGUUGGUCUUCUGUAGGAUAUCCUCCAUUCUGUUCCUUCCUUUCCUAGCCCUAUUGCAGAAACUCAGCUUCAUACUUGGAACGACCUCUGGAAAUUAGCGUUGCUUGUGCUAUCCCAAAUCAUUUCCAUUUCAGCUAUUCUGUGCUACCUGGUGUUCUUCUCUAGUGCUGUGAAAAUGCUGCCACCUUCCCUUUUCAUUUUAGUUGCAUUACCCUUCUCAGGUAUUUCAUCAUAUUACGAAAGCCCAUCUCAGUAUCAGACAUCCUAUCCCUUCCUUUCUAUACUUUUUUGCUAGUUUCUUCUUUAUCUUCUUAAUUUUUCUGCUCUUUCCUCCAGAUCCUUUUCAUUUCUUUCUUCCCAGAUGGUUGUCCAGAACUAAGAAUGUCUUCAUAUGUCAACAUGAUACGCAUAUUCUCAUCUUUCCUCAGUGAGCUUUGCUUGCUUAUAUUCCUACUGAUGUGAUCAUGUUCUGUUAUAUACCCAUUUCAGCAUGAGGGUAGAGGUGACUUCCGCUCUUACUAUGUAUGUCCCUUUCCACCUCAGUAGAAGUAGGUCAUAGUAUGUAUAAGAUGACAAAAGAACUGAUGAGGAUGCUUACUCUGCACUACAGGCUGGGCAAGCUAUCAGCUCCCACUGACUUAUUUUGCUGCAUCUUAAUGUUUGGAAUUCAGAGAAGUCCCUUGACUCUGGCAUCUCCAUUUGGUCCAAAAAGGUCUGAAUAAAUGGCAUCUCUGAGCAUGCUGUAAAUCUCGCUGUUUAUUAUGAGGUGUCAAAUAAGCAUUCAAAAUGGCCUGUGUAUGCCAUACCCUACUGGUGGGCUGGCUCGCCUUUUUUGUCUCCAGAGCAAACAGACAAAUAGGUUAUGUACCAACACUUUUAUUUCUAUCACUUUUGGAAUACUGUGUCAAAUCAUCCAUUUGAAGCAAUAAAAAAACUGAAAUGACUUUUCUUCAGAAGUUUGAAUGCACAUUAUGGGUAGCUGAAUAAGCCAAAAUGCAUUCUGCAGGAAGAUUUGGAGAGGCUGCUGGCUUGGAACACUAUCCCACCCCUCAAUAGUUGGCAUGACUGGUUGUGCCCCAGAUUUUAAAGAACAGUUGCAUUAGCAUACAGAAAGGCAUUUUAGGGACAUUAUUCUCAAGUACUGUAAACAAUUGAAGGCAUCAAUAAUGAGUGCAUUAGCACUCCUGAAACUGUUUUAUCAGGUAAAUUUAUCAGGGAUGUCUCAUACAGUCUCAUUUUACCCCGAAGAGACAACCUCAGUCAGUUCAAUAAUGACUGAUGUGACAGGAAACAUAGCACAUUGCCAAGAGAGUUGUUUUGAUAUUUGCUUAGUGGAAACAUACAUAAAGAUUGCAGUGUUUUUCUGAGGCAGGGAUUAGUGAAAGAGACUGUGAUACCAUGGUUUAUGAAGCCUCAUCUUUCAUUUAUGUUGAACUGUAGAAUUAUUGGCUAAAAGACUGGUGAGUCUUUUUUAGGAAUGCACUCUUUUUCCUAUUCUCUUUCCAUUACUUUCAGAGCUUCUGGGCAAUGGCACAACAGCUAUUUGAAAAGAGCUGGCUUAAACAAAUUUAAAAAAAGGCUUACUCUGCCACCUACCUACAAUAAUAAAGUAACAAUAAUAGUAAUUUCAAGUUCAGCACCAUUUUUAUUUCCUUUUCAAUCUCUAUGGAAUUAAAGCUAUAAUCAGCUGUUAACUUGGUGUGUCUCAAAUAUGGCUGUCCACUUUGUUCUGAUGAAAAGACAGCUAUAUUUCCAAAUUAUAGAUAACAUUUUAUUUUUAGCCUUGCCUACUCUCAAUACCUUAUGUUUCAGAAAUGUAGCUAUCUCAUUUUCAAAAUAAAUGAAUAAAUAUAGACCAGUUAUAUAUUAAUGAGCUAAUACUGGAUGUUCUUGUUGAUUCAAGAUGUAUAGCAUUAAUAACUUCUAGUUCUGGGACAUGUUACUGUCACUUCUUUCAAACUCUCUACACAGGUAAAAAUUGUCAUUAAUGAAAAUGGAAUUAAGACAAUUAAGCUUACUUUAUAGAGGGUUAAGAGGAAAAUGGAAAAAAGCAUCCAGCCAGGACUAAACAGCAGUAUUGCUUAACCUCAGCUAUUAAGCUGAGUCCCUUGACUCCUAACUGAAAAACUGAUAGUGAGUGUGAUUUCUGCAUACAACAAGAGAAUUGUCUGGGAGCAAGAAAAAUAGAUACACUGAUUCAAUACAACGCUAUUUAGGCCAGACAGUUUAUGAUAAUCUUCUUCCAUCUGUUAGAUAUGAUCCUAGCUCAUAGAUUUUCAUUUUGCACAGUGAUGUUGAAGUGCAUACUAUGAACAUCAAAUCUGUACCCAUGACUUUUCGUAGCAGCCUGUACCAGUGCCUCAUCUACUGCUGGCUAAAUAAUUUUUUCAUAACAACUUACCUAAAUCUUCCCUCUUUCAGUUUAAAACCAUUCCCUCUUGUCCCGUGCUUAUGUGCCCAUGUAAAAAAUUGGUCUCCCUCCUGAUUACAAGCCCCCUUGCAGGUUUUUGUUUGUUUGUUUUCAUGCAUUUUAGGUCACUGAAAUGACCUCUGACGAUCAUCACCUUUGCUUUUGUCUGAUGUUUUAAGCCAACAAUCUGAUUCACUCCUGUUUUCUCAGAAAUCAUCUGGAAAACCAGUUAGAAUUGAGCCCUGCAGAUUACAUUGUUACUUUCCUAAUUUUAGAUUUUAGAAUAACAUCAAUGUUCUUGACAGCUUAUUAGUUUUUAAAAUAUCUGUAUAUUUUGAACAAGCUCCUAUUAAGUCACGUCAAAACUUUUUAAUAAAGUUUGGUUUGAAUUAAUGUAUCUGACCAUGGAAGGGAUUAUUUCAAACACAGAGAUUUAGAAGAUAUGACAAAAAUGUGAUCCUGACCUUUCAUUAGAUUUUAUUAAUACAAGACUCUGUGUGAAUGUUUGCAGACUGACAGUUGUAACGUCAAAAUGUGUUCAUGGAGCAGCAGAUAUUUGUAUUCUGCUUUAUUUUUGUUUGAGGUACUAGUCUGUGUUAUUUCCAAAGCUUUUCCUUGUAUUUUAAAAUGAAAGGCUGUUGUUAUUACUUUGGUUUGGAAGUUUGCAUUGCUGUUUCCACAGUAUUUGUAGUUAAUAAUUUAAUCUUAGAGUCGUGCAGUUGUUUGAUGGCCUGGGAUCCCCAAACUUGCGUUCAUAACAGGAAUGCUGCUCCAGUAUGGUUAUUUGGUGUUUCUCCAUACUUCCAAUGGAUUUCAUAGCAAUUUAAUAGUAAACAUUUAUUUAUGUAUUCCUAUCACUGUCAAGUACAGGAAUCACUUCUGUCUGAGGAUACGUAACCCCAGAAAGAAGCUAAAAAGAAGGUUCUGAAGUUUUAAAUGUCAGAAUCACUCAUAAAUUUAGUUAACAUAAAAGAUAUGCUUACUUCAUACUGCUUUACCUAUAUUGCUGUAAUUAUUCAACGUAUCAGGUUUUACUGGGUUGUGAAGAAGAAUUGGGGGUCAAAUAAUUCAGGAAAUACAUGAUGUGUUGCAAGUGGUCCGUACUUCUCGUGUGUCAGUUGGUUGUUCUUUUUGUUUCUUUAUUUCUUUAAACUGAUUUAUGAAGUAGACUUUGUUUUAACGGUCUACAUUUGAAAGCCAAGGAGUGAAGCAAUUAAAGUUAUUAGAACUCACUGUUUCUUAAAUCAAAAUACAUGGUAUAUAUAUGCAUCAUGUGGUAUAGCAAUUCAGAAAAGGUCUUGAAAAUUGUUUAUGGAAUCCAUUGCUUUCAUCAAAGUCCAGUUCACUCUCUGUUUCUACCUCAGGAGGGGAUGACUUCCAGGAUAUGGCAUGUUUGACACUGUGCUAAAGAUAAAUAUUGAAUGCC
rnacentral:lncRNA from 1 species